rnacentral:rRNA from 1 species
GUCUUUUUGAUUUAAUAAAAGGUUUGAUCUGCCCACUGAAUUUUAAAUGGCCGCGGUAUUUUGACUGUGCAAAGGUAGCAUAAUAAUUAGUUUAUUAAUUGUAAGCUUGUAUGAAUGAUUUGAUGAAAGUAUUGUUGUCUUUGAUUUUUACAUAGAAUUUUAAUUUUCAUUAAAAAUGAUGAAAUAAAUAAAUGGGACGAGAAGACCCUAUAGAGUUUUAUAUAUACCGAAUAUAGAUUUAAAGAUAAAAGUUAUUUAAUUGGGGUAAUUAAUUUAUAUUGGAAUUAAGUGUGAUAAGACUAUAUAAAAGGAUAAUGGAGCUAUUAAUAAUUAUUAGAUUAAAUUACCUUAGGGAUAACAGUGUAAUAAUAUAUAUAGUACGUAUAAAAUAUAUUGUUUGCAACCUCGAUGUUGGAUUAAGAAAA